rnacentral:rRNA from 1 species
UACGUAGGGUGCGAGCGUUGUCCGGAAUUAUUGGGCGUAAAGAGCUCGUAGGCGGCUUGUCGCGUCGUCCGUGAAAACCUGCAGCUCAACUGCAGGCUUGCGGGCGAUACGGGCAGGCUAGAGUUCGGUAGGGGAGACUGGAAUUCCUGGUGUAGCGGUGAAAUGCGCAGAUAUCAGGAGGAACACCGGUGGCGAAGGCGGCAUCCUGGACCGGCAUUGACGCUGAGGCGCGAAAGCUAGGGGAGCAAACGGG